AUCGCGUCGCCCCCCUUCCCCGUGCUGAAUGCCGGCCGGUCGGGGGCGGACAUUGGCCUCCCGUGCACCUCCGUGCGCGGCUGCCCCAAAUGCGAUCCCCGGGCGACUGGCGUCACGACAAGUGGUGGUUGAACAUCUCAAUCUCUCUCGUCGUCGUGCCGUCCUGUCGUCAUUACGGGAAUAGUCAUAAACGACCCAACGGUACAGGUGCUUAACUGCACCUCACCUUCGACC
rnacentral:misc_RNA from 1 species